AAGUAUCUAAAAGAUUUUAAUAACUUUUUUAUGCUCUGGGAAACUAUAGUAAAGAGAAUUACUUUUUUCUGAUAAUUC
rnacentral:tRNA from 1 species